CAACACCUACUGAGGAGGUCUACCCGUUUAUCUGUCUGAACCUGCACACAUGAAAUGCAGCGACCCCGGCAAAAGGGACGUUAGUAUGAAAUAAUGUACCGAGUAUGUAAGGCAAUAGAAUAACUGAAAGCUGAAAAUUAACUGAUAAUAUAAUAACUGAAAGUAACUGGGAGUCAAAGAUAAUAUGAAGAUAUGCUUACCUGCUGAUACUGAUUCAACUCUCUCAAUAUAGUAAGUAAAAUAGUUGUCCAGCCCUAUAAGGCUCGGUAUAUAUAUAACUGCUCUGCCGUAGUAGGCUCUCUCAUAGGCGCUCGGCCAUACUAGGCUCUGUAUCUUGGCCAACUGGGCUCGCUCAUAGGUGCUUGACCACAGCAGGCUCGGUAUAUAACUUACCAUCUGAUCAAAGGUUGUCCAAUAGGGGCCUGCCUAUCGAUUAUAGCUCGAUGGUAGUGAAAAUACUAUAAUACUGUAUAUAUAGACUCUCUGCUCUCUUGACUAGAAGAAGACAAUACUCAAUUGAAUAUGAAGUCCCGAUAAGGGAGAAUACUGUAACUUAGGAGACUAGGAUAAUGUAUAUAAAUUCUGGAGUAUGAACUUCUCUUUAUGCCUCGUUAUCAAACAUAUGUAAUUAUGAGAUCAUGCAAAAAUGAAGGAAAGGUUUAGCCUUAACAUACCUGCGUCGAUUAUCUUGACAAUCCCUAUAACACACGUCAAUUGCGACAAAUCACGUAACGACGGAUCGAAGUAGGAGAUAUUCAUAUAAUAUUCUUGAGAAAGAUUGUACUGUAUUCUCUUAGAAUUGCAUCUUAUGCUGCUAUUACAUAAUAUCGUAUGAAUUUGCUGAAAUAGAUCCGUUAUUAUUGUUGAAGAUCUCAUCAUUUACCCAUUUUUGAAGCCUUUCUCCAUUUGAAACUUAAGGAAAUUUUCAUGUAAAAAUCAAACUAAUGUUCAAAGAAAUUUAUGUUUGCCAUGGCAGAUCCAUAUGAUCUCUUUCCUCAAAUGAAUGAAGGAAUUUGAAAGGUUCCUUAUUAUAGUGGUGUGGGCCCCACUUGAUAAGGGUUACUUGGCCAAAGACUUUUCCAAAUAUUGACACCUUUUAUGUGAACUUAAUAUUCACCAUUUCCCUAAGACAAGGCUGCCACGUUAAAGUGUCCUUAAUCUUUAUCCCAAGGACUUUAAUUUCUUAGCUAAUCUUCCCACCAAAAUCAUUAAGUAAUCCAAUUAUCCACAUAAUUAAGAAUUAUCUUAAGUAACUUAAAAUACUACUCAAUUUUAGCAUACCUUAUACACCUCACUAUCAUGGUCAUGUGGUACCUUGUAUGGUACUAAUCCAUAAAUAACGAGCAUUAUAUCUUGGACCGUAUUUAUCAAAAAAUGUCAAACUUCGACGAAACUCACUUCCUUCGAUUCGCUUACCCUCUUACCUUCAUGAAUUUACUUAUCACUUGUUUGAAGUAGCGUACUACUUAUGAUCCCAAAAUAAUCUCAUUCCCGAACUUACGUCGAUUAACUUACGAUGAAACUUUAUGGUACGAAAAUGCGGGACGUAACAGGUAUUAUGGCAGUAAUAGAUAUGGGCAUUGUGAAUUAUCAAGUGUUUUGAUCUAUGUCUUUGUUCUAAGUGGGGGAGUCUGCUAUCGGCUAUUUGAUUGCGUGGUUAUGUGUUGUAUUGGUUUCGGUCUGAAGCAUACUUAUGGAUCGGUUAUGAGGAUUUGUAUAUGGCUAGAAUCUGAGAUUUACAUUGGAUGGUAUCGAGACUCGCGGUAUUUCUAUAUCAUUAUGGAUUCUACAUUUCAGUAUCAGGAAGGUGAAGGAAAUGACUUUAGAUUCACGAAAGGUCUCUUUAGAGUGGGACUCUCUGUUGUGGUACUUUUGGGGUGCAAAAGAGGGAAUACAAUGGCUUAUGGGCUUUACGGCGAUGUGGUUUUAUGCUAGGAUCUCUUGUGGUGAGCUUUGGGUAAGGAUUGUAGUGUUAUGAAAAGGAGAAGUGUCAACUUGAGGGUAAUUCGAAAGGAACUCAGAGAAAAUAGGACAACUUGGUAGGAUGUGGUGAGUCUCUAGACGUGUUUUGUUAUAAUACUCUUGGGUUUGGCGACCUGCGUGGCUUGGUUGAGUUAGAGAGAUUUAGUUCUGAUGGCUUGGUUAUGUGCAAAUGAGUUUUGAAGAGUUCUCUAUGGUUUCUACCACGGUUUGAGAUGGAUAUUUCCUACCGACGUGAUGAGCAUGUUGCGUAUUGUGAUUUUCUCCUGGAUGGGAUCAAGUGGAAAGUUUCUGACUGAUCUGGUAUGUAUAAUGCUGGUUACUCAGAGUUGAUUAUGAGAUUCAUAUGCUUUUCAUAUGAUGUCAUUGAUCUGAUGAGUGGUUAUGAGUUUCUGCAUGUUUCUUUCAUCAUCGGUAGUGUACAAAGGUUUUGAACUAGGUUUUAUUUGAUAUGAGUUUUACUACCAGUAUCGGGUUUUUUUGAGCAGUUACUGUGAUCGGGAAUUAUUGAUACGAGUAUGCGAGUUGUGUUGUAUAUCAUGUGAUUACAUCUUGUAUUAUGGUUAUGGCUUGUUACAGCCUUUUCGGACUCAUACAAUGUGUAGAUGCAAGAUUCGGGUCUUGUAAAGAAUUUCGGAUGUUAGAAAUUGGGUUCUAAGGCUUACAAACUAAAGUUAAAGUAAUGAUCUUCAGUUAUGAUGUGUUGUCAGGAUUACAUGGAUUGGGGUAACGUGGGAUCACCCUGAGGUAUGUGCAUGGUAAGGCUACACGACGAUUUGAUGGCUUUGGAAUGACCCUUGGCACGUUCGAAGACGGACAUAUGUUUAAGUGGGGGAGAAUGUAAUGACCCGCCUGGUCAUUUUGAGCAUUUGGAUUCCGUUCAACUAUUUGAAGUCUAGUAGCAUCCUAUGAUGUAUUAUGACUUGUGUGAAUCGUCGGUUUUGAUUUUCAGAUUAUUCGGAAUUGAUUUGGAAGAAUGAAAAUCAUGGUUGAAGCUUUAAAGUUGGAAGAGUUGACCGAGCUUGACUUUUGUAUAUUUGACCCCAGAUCAGAGUUUUGAUGGUUUCGUUAGGUCCAGAUGGUGAUUUUGGACUCAGGCGUAUGCCCGAAUUUGCAUUUGGAUAUUUUUAGAAGGUUUCGACACUAAUUGGCGAAAGUUGGAAGUUUGAAGGUUUGGAAUGUACAUAAAUUUGACCGAGAGUUGACUUUGAGGAUAUCAAAUUCGUAUUGUGGUUCCGGGAAUUGGAAUAGCUUCGUUAUGUUACUUGUGACUUGUAUGCAAUAUUUGAGUUUAUUCCGAGUUGAUUCGAUAAGGUUCGGCACGAGGUUUAGAAGUUGAAAGUUCAAAAGUUUAUUAAGUUUGAUUUGAGGUGCGAUUCAUCAUUUUGAUGUUGUUAUGCAUUCUUGGGGGCCUGGAAUAGGUCCGUGUUAGGCUAUGAGACUUGUUGGUAUGUUCGGACGGGGGCCAGAGGGGCUCGGGCGUGUUCCGGAUUGAUUUCAGACCAUUUUUCUUCAUGUUUACAUUGCUGGUUGCUGCUGGUUUUCUGGUGCCUCGAUUGUCUGUUGUGAUUGCGAAGAUGGGCAUGCGAUCACAUAGAGGAAAUCUGGAGCUGGGGCUUUUUCUUCAUCGAGGCCGUGAUUGGAUGGCUGCGUUCGCGUAAGGCUGUGUGGGUUACUAUUCAUGUUCGCAUAAUGGGCACCGCAAUCGCGUAAAGCAGAGAUGAGAAACUGGGAGCUGGAAUUUCUUCUACGCGUUCGCAUAAGAUGGGACGCAUUCCCGAAGCUUGGCGGCCUGAGUGCUUCGUGUUCGCAUGGGUAUUCUAGCGAUCGCGUAGCGUAUUGUUGGAGGCAGUGUUGUUUGUUCUUUGCGAUAGCGAAGGUUGUUCCGCGAUCGCAUAGGGUUGUUCUGGGCAGUGCAUUUUUCUUCUUCACGAUCGUGAUGGUAUGUCCAUGAUCGCGAUUUAUUGAUUCGUCCAGUGAUUAUAAAGUACUAUAUUUUGGAGGUGUCAGCCAUUUUUGCAUAUUUGGAGCUAUGGAGCUCGGAUUAAGACGAUCUUUGAAGCGGUUUUCACCAUAUGGAUUAGGGUAAGUGUUCUCUACUCAGUUUUGAUUAUAUUUCAUGAAUCUAUCCUCGUUUUUGGCAUUUGGUUGAUGAUUGCAAAAGCAAAAUUGGAGGUUUUUGUCUAAAAUUUCAUAAAGUGAAUUUUUGAGUUUUGAACAUCGAUUCGGAGUUGGAUUUUAGUGAAACUAGUAUGGUUGGACUCGUAGUUAAAUGGGUUGUCAGAUUUUGUGAGUUUUUUGGGUUCCGAGGUGCGGGCCCGUGUUUGACUUUUUGGUUGACUUUGAGCUUUUGAUUAAAGAUUCGACCUUUAUCAUUUGGAAUUAUUUUUAGGCAUUAGUUGAUGUUCUUGAGUUGCGUUUGGCUAUUAUUGAGCCGUUCGGAGGUUGAUGCGUGCGGGAUGGCAUUUCUAGAGUAUUGUGUGGCUUGCUCGGUGUCUGAUUUGGCUUGUUCGAGUUAAGUAAAACUUCUAAUCUUGGUGCUGAGGGUAUUAACCCCGAAUAUACGUGUUAUAUGUUUGGUGUUGAGGUGACGCACAUGCUAGGUGACGGGCAUGUGGGCGUGCAUCAUGUGAAUUAUGGCUCGGUUAUUUCUGUGGUACUGUGUAGUAUCCUAAUCUUGUGUUUAUCCAUGAGAUUUCUACGUGCUAGUGUAAUACAAUUGUGAUCCAUGUUAGAAACCAUGUUAAGGCUAUAUGCUUAUCCUGUUGGGACCCACUGAGGUCAUUUCUGCUGUUGAGUUAUUUGCUUAAAUUGCAAUUACAUACUCAAUCAUACUUAUUCAUUGCAUGUCAUAUAUCAGUCUCUGUUAUCAUUUGUCUUACAUCAUAUUAUCAUUGUUUGCGCCGAUUGGCAUGAGAUUUGUGAGACCGAAAGACUGGAGAUAUUGAUGACUAAGUGAGGCCGAGGGCAUGGUUGUGAGGAUGUUUAUGGAAUCGGGCUGCAUGCCGCAAUAGGAUUUAUUAAUUUAUGCCAUGAUUGGAUUAUAUUAGAGCUUGGGUAGGAUCUGCCCCUCCGGAGUCUGCACACCCACAGUGAGCGCAGGUACCUACUGAGUGCGAGUGCCGAGAGCGAGUGCCAAGUGAUAUGGAGGACUGAGUGACUGUGAGGACUGAGUGAUUGUGAGGACUGGGUGAUUGGGAGGAUUUAGUGACGAGGAGGACUGAGUGAAUUGAUACUCUGAGAGUAUGCAUAUGGUUUUAUCACUGUGUUGCAUUGCAUUCGACAUGUACACUUGACAUACAUGCAUAGAGAUGCAUUUUCCUCAUGCUGUACGGUAUUGCAUCACUCAUGACUUCACAUACACAUUGACAUGUAGGCAUAGAGAUGUAAUUUCCUCAUUCCAUUUGAUAAUGAAACAUCUUACAUGUUGAAUGUUUUUGGAAAAAAUUACAAUUUUUAAGAUUUACUCACAUUUUGGUGAUUUGAGUAAAAGAUUUAAGUUUUCACUAUUAUACUUGAAAAGCAUGCCUAUUUCUAGAACCGUGAACGAGUUGAGUAUUUUAUCUCUGAGUUAUUUCUUGUACCACUUUUAUUAUAUUGUUAUGAGCUGUUGUUGGCUAUUGGUGUUGGACUCUGACCUUUGUCCCAGCUCAUCACUGUCACGCCCCGAAUCUGGGGGGUGAGACCGGCACCAGGUGCCUCACCUAUCCUUGCGUACCAACUUGCGACUAAGGGACUCUAAACAUAUAAUGUCAUACUUUGGCCAUGUUCCACAUUGCAAGACAAUUGUGAAUGCUGACUAAACAACAGUAUCAUACUGGGCCAACAAGGCCGUCAUAAGUACUAUAGCUGGUAAACCAACACAAUAUACAUAAACAGCCUACAAGUCCAAAAUACUACACUAACUGACAGGAUAUGUCUACAAGCCUCUAUUGAUGGAUAUACUGUGAUCGGAACAGGACCCCGACCUACUCAUAUCAUAUAUAUAUAUAUAUAUAUAUAUACACAAGAUGGACAUAAAGAUUUAGACCCGGCAACACCGAAGGGCAUGGAGCUUACCGAUCAAGCUGAACUCAGGCAAUACCUAAUGAGGAGGUCUACCCAUCUGCCUGUCUGAACCUGCACGCAUGAAAUGCAGCGCCCCCAGAAAAGGGAUGUCAGUAAAAAAUAAUGUACCGAGUAUGUAAGGCAAUAUACUAAAAGCUGAAACUGAACUGAUAAUAUAAUAACUGAAAGUAACUGGGAGUCAAAGAUAAUCUGAAGUUAUGCUCACCUAUUGAUACUGACUCAACUCUCUCAAUAUAGUAAGUAAAAUAGUUGUCCGACCUUAUAAAGCUCGGUAUAUAUAACUCCUCUGCCAUAGUAGGCUCGCUCAUAGGCACUCGACCAUACUAGGCUCUAUAUCUCGGCUAUGCUGGGCUCGCUCAUAGGCGCUCGGCCACAGUACGCUCGGUAUAUAGCUUACCAUCUGAUCAGAGGUUACCCAAUAGGGUCCUGCCCAUCGAUUAUAGCUCGAUGUUAAUGAAAAUACUGUAAUACUAUAUAUAUAUAUGCUCUCUGCUCUCUUGACUGGAAGAAGACAAUACUCAAUUGAAUAUUAAGUCAUGAUAAGGAGAAUACUGUAGUUUAUGAGACUAGGAUAAUGUAUAUAAAUUCGGGAGUAUGAACUUCUCUUUAUGCCUCGUUAUCAAACACGUGUAAUUAUGAGAUCUUGCCAAAAUGAAGGAAGGGCUUAGCCUUAACAUACCUGAGCCGGUUCUCUUGACAAUUCCUCUAAUACAUGUCAAUUGCAACAAUAUGUAAUCGGCAAGAUCAGAGUAGGGAAGAAUCCGUAUGAUAUUCUUGAGAAGGAUUGCACCAUACUCCCUUAAAAUUUCAACACCUCACGUUGCUAAGAUGCUAAGAGAUGUUGUUUUGAAUUUUGUUUCAAGAACAUUACGUUAUUAAGAUGCAAACUUUUUAUUUUAAUUUGCUGAAUCCUUCAUCUCUCACGUUAUAGAGACAUCAACAUCUCACUUACUAACUUAGGAAGAUCAGUCAUGGAGCUCCCCCUCCUUCGACAAGAACUAUAGCCAAUUUCUAAGUCGAUCAGUGACACUAUCCUUCCAAAUGUACCGCAACCAAAUCUGAUAGCACCUAUUCUAGGUCCAACAACCUCAUCUCAUAAAAUACAGCCACUCCACUGACAUGCCACACCGAUACAACCUCAAGCCAAAAGCCGUGCAAUCCGUGCACCAUUACGCAACAAUUCAAAUGCACCUAAAAAUGGAAAAUGACUCAAAUGAGAGAAACAUUCCGCAGGCUCAGUAAGUACCACCAUAACGCAAUGCUAAAACCCCAUCACACAUGGUAGAACCAAAACACAUGAAUCUAUCACAAAGGAUCAUAUCCCACCAUAACCCAGCUGCAAUACGUGACCCAUCCAAACACCGAUCCGAAUGACAUACCUCGAGCCCCAAUGCUCAAAUUCAACAACCAUAAGUAAUUCGACACCAAGUACAUAAGUGCAUGACCAAUACCAUGGAGAAGAAAAUAAAAAAAUACAUCACAAUUCGGAAAAGACUAUAACCAAGGCGCAAUCAACCAUUCCACACCCCAAUCAACAUCUCGCUCGAAUUUUGCUAUAAGGCCAAAACAGAACCGCACCAUGUGUGCAUAUAACCAACGAAUCACAACCCCUCGUAGCAUGGAAGAGUAACACAUAGAACAUAUCAGGUAAGAAUAAAAUCAAUUCUAACUGAAUGGCACAUCCCUCAAUAAUAGCAGUACGGAGUAAACAAAUCUGACCCGGUGUAGAAUACACAUCCUCCUUGGGCCUACCAAUGGGCCCCCAAACCAACUCCGAUCAUACCCAAAUAGAUAAAUAGCCCUCCAAAAGUCCACAAUGAUCUAAUGAUAACAUGUACCACCAUCUAGCUAACUUUUCCCACAUCUUCACAAUUCGCAACCACGAAAUAAUCCGCUUCUGGGAACUCCCAAUCUCUUAUAAUUUUGUGGGUUGUGGGCCCCACUUAUGCAUGACUUGUCCACCAAUAAUUCCUCCAAUUUUGCCACCUUUCAAUCUGACUUAAGAGUCACUUAAAUGAUCAUAUGUUGCUGCCACGUUGGGGCUUCUUAAGCUUAUCCACUCAUUUUCUUAAUUAACUAGUUAAUUCUCCACUAAUCCAAUAAUUACCAUAUUAUUCACAUAAUUAAGAAUUAUCUCAAAUUACUUUAACAUACUACUCACUUUUAACACAAUUUGUAUACCUUACUAUUAUGGUCAUGUGGUACCUUGUAUGGUACUAGUCCAUAAAUGCCGGGUGUUAUAGCUCGGACCGUAUUUUAUCCCAAAUUGUCAAAUUUCAAUGAAAAUUAUUUUUUUCGAUUUGCUUACCCUCUCACCUUCACGAAUUUACUUAUCCCUUGUUUGAAAUAACAUAAUACUUAUAAUCCCAAAAUAAUCUCAUUCCCGAGCUUACGUCGAUUAACUUACGAUGAAGCUUUAACGUACAAACAAAUACGGGAUGUAUCAUCUCAUUUUGGAGCUUUCAUCAAUAUAUUUAUGGCGUACUUUCAAGUACAAAAAAUAUGGGGUGUAACAUUAUUCCCCCCUUUGGAACAUUCGUCCUCGAAUGUUGACUGAUGUACUUAUCAUUCUCAUAACCCAUAGCUCUUGCGAAUACUUUAAUAUUCUCCUUGCCAUUUAGGCAAUUGUUCUUUGAAUAAAUCCAAAGGCCAAGGCAUUCCCUCCUUUAGUCCUCUUUGUCAUACCACGACUUUCCUACAGCUCUUAGCCAAUCUCUAGGCCUCACUUUGUGAACAUAUACAAAAUUAUGUCAAGCUGUCCCUUUGGGCGUCAUUAGCUUUACUACAUCUAAAUAGGCCAUACUAUACCAUAACUCUUACUUUGAUUUAUUGUUACUGAGGUCUACGACCAAACUCCAGGUUACUCUCAUUGCUUAUCCUAUAUGCAUAAAGCUAAGUCCUUUAUUGCUUCCUUAUUACUGUUCAUCUUAAGAAUGAUGACCUAAUCUCAGCUCAUACUUUGUGACUUUUGUCCAUCCAUUAUGAUUCGCCUCAAUAUUGAUCUACAAUAUACCACUGAUAACUUGAAACUUCUUACGUAAUACAUUGCCACUAGGGCUUAUAUUGCAUCGAGGAAUAUUUGAAGUGAUUUUCCUGAUCCACUUAGGGGCGAUACUAUACUUCAAUAAUCGUAUUUUAUAGCAUCUCAAUAUGAUUCACCUUACGUGGGUAUUUUAAUUCCGUACAAUCCAUGAAAUCCUCUUCAAAUCAUUACUCAAUCGAAGGCUCAACCGUCAUCCUUUAUCUAUCAUAAUUACACAUUUAUUCUACUAUCAGGGCAUCAUUCCAUCUCUUCCAAAUGCUACUAGUCUUAGAUUCCUUUGAGUUCAUUCAAGCUAUACCGAGCUUUCUAUAACUUAGAGAAGCCAUCAACUAUCUUGUUUUCAUGGGCUUAAUCCCGAGGACUCAUCCGUUUCUCGUUACCUUCUCACUCACCCUUUUUUGUCCUUACUCUUGUCUUCCUAAAACCUCGUCGCUCUAUCAUACUUUAGCUUGCGACCCAUACAUAUCCAUUUAUACUACUCGCAGCCUUCCUUCAACUUUCUUGCACCAUAGAUUUCCUUGUGUUAUUCUGGAACAUCAAGCGUGACAUCGUAACAUCUCCAACUCCUUUUUACUCUCUUGAAUAGAUUUCUCGGUGCCUAGAAACCAUAGGCUGGAAGAUAUGCCACUAAUGACACAGCUAUCAUUUCGGGAUACCGAAUCCCAACGCUUCUAGACCUCUAUCUGAAGUAUGGAUUAUUCACAACCUUCUGCACCUGAGUAUCUCGUACGUUGUUCCUCUAUACCUUGCUUACCUUAAAAUCUCCCAUCGUAUCUUCUAUCUCUUUCAUAACCCCACUUCCACAUAGGUAUGAUUUACAUCCACAACUUGAAACUCUAUUAUAAUACUUGCACCUCUGGUGCAUACGCAAUCCAGUAGGAGCUUCAUACUGACUUCUUAUGAGGUUGGUACUUUUCUAAUUGGCUUUAUCGUAGGGCCGUUAUAGAAUAUGGUUAUUGUGCUAUCUCUCUUGCACCUCUAAUAUUAAGAUUGAUUCCUCUAUGUUCUCAAUCAUGAUUUUUAUAAUUCUCUGGGUCCAAUAAUCAGACUCCUGAUUUACUUAGUUGAUUAAACUCUUUAGUUUCCUCUUCCUUCUGAUCAACCUUCAUGUAGGCUUAAGCUAUCUUACGAUCUACGGCUCAUGGUAUUAGUUAUUACUUUAUCCUUUCAUGGGCGCUAUGGAAUAUCCAUGAUACAAUCUUCUAACAAUUCAAUCCUUUGUCUAUGCCCUAGGCUCAAUUCGUUCUUUUAACUUAUACCGGAGUCUUCUACGACUGUAUGAAUGUCAACAUAUAUGCUGCAUGGAUAAUACUCCAAACUCUUAAGUGUGUUCAUAACGUAACUAACUCUGGAUCAUUAAUCGAAUAAUUCUUUUCGUUCCUUCUCAACUUUCUUUAAAUGCAAGCAAUUGCUUUUCCUAGUUGUUCUGCCACUUGUUGCAUGCAUACUUAACUUAUCUUAGUGCCUAUACAUAUUUGAAUUCCAUACAACUCAUAUAAUAUUGAAUAUCACUUCUAAUUUUUACUUCCCGUCCAUUAGCCGCGGUAGGUGCCACUUUCUUAUGGAGUGCAUACAACGUUGUUGUGAGACUGUUGUUAUAAGAUCACUUCCUCUCGUCUCUUCCUUCACCUGACUAUGGACCUUGUAAUACCGUCAUCAUUUUGAUCUACCGUUGUCAUCCAUGUAUCACAUCUUACUCAUAAUGCUUCUUUAUCUCUCUUAUCAUUUCCCUGCUAAUAUUUUUGCCUAUCCCUUUCUUGUAAAAACUUCAACAAGACAUUCUUUUGCUUUUAGCUCCCCUUGCUUCAUUCAUCGGCUCUUCGGUUUGCUCAACGUUCUCGCUCUACUUGGGACGGGAGCCACACCAAGGNNNNNNNNNNNNNNNUCUAUAAUGGGGUAUUAAUAAGAUGGUCCAUGGGUAUGAAGGUUGUUCAUCUUGCAUGCAUGUGAUAAAGAGUGUGAGGAAGAUAAAAAGUGAACUAGAACUAUGAACGUUUUCCUAAUUUUGGGUUCAAGUUGUAUAUUGCUAAAAUAGAUUAAGGUUGCUAAGGGUUCCGGAUAAUUGUAGAGUGUAAAGAAUCGCAAUUGAGGUAUGUAUGUCUAACUCUUUUCUUCUUAGAAUCGAACUCCUGGUGUCCGAAUAAUUGGUGUAAGUUCCAACUUGAUCAUACUAGAAUUGUUUGCCUUAUUGUGUUGGAUUGAAAGAUUCAUGUUCUCUAAUCAUUUUAGAUGGUUACCAUGUCAUCAUUCUAUUUGAGAACGUAAUUAUGAUUUUCCAAGCUCUUUCCCUUAUGUGUGAAAUGCUUUAUGUGAUGGUACUUAUUGAAAUGAAUGAUGAUGUUAUUUGAACAAAUAAAAAUGGAAAGACUUGAAUUGUAAAAUGUUCCCAAGUGCCAAGAACUACUUAAUAAAUGAGGCUGUUUGUGCCAUGUAAUGAAGAUNNNNNNNNNNNNNNNNNNNNNNNNNNNNNNNNNNNNNNNNNNNNNNNNNNNNNNNNNNNNNNNNNNNNNNNNNNNNNNNNNNNNNNNNNNNNNNNNNNNNNNNNNNNNNNNNNNNNNNNNNNNNNNNNNNNNNNNNNNNNNNNNNNNNNNNNNNNNNNNNNNNNNNNNNNNNNNNNNNNNNNNNNNNNNNNNNNNNNNNNNNNNNNNNNNNNNNNNNNNNNNNNNNNNNNNNNNNNNNNNNNNNNNNNNNNNNNNNNNNNNNNNNNNNNNNNNNNNNNNNNNNNNNNNNNNNNNNNNNNNNNNNNNNNNNNNNNNNNNNNNNNNNNNNNNNNNNNNNNNNNNNNNNNNNNNNNNNNNNNNNNNNNNNNNNNNNNNNNNNNNNNNNNNNNNNNNNNNNNNNNNNNNNNNNNNNNNNNNNNNNNNNNNNNNNNNNNNNNNNNNNNNNNNNNNNNNNNNNNNNNNNNNNNNNNNNNNNNNNNNNNNNNNNNNNNNNNNNNNNNNNNNNNNNNNNNNNNNNNNNNNNNNNNNNNNNNNNNNNNNNNNNNNNNNNNNNNNNNNNNNNNNNNNNNNNNNNNNNNNNNNNNNNNNNNNNNNNNNNNNNNNNNNNNNNNNNNNNNNNNNNNNNNNNNNNNUUUGAAUGGAUGUAGGUGGUUCCAUCGCAGAUAGUGCCGAUCGCAGAUAGUGGUGCUCUCUUUUCCUCCUCACAACAGUCUUGGUGAGCCCAAUUUUUCCCAAGGGUAUUUUGUCCUUCAUUUGUAUAAGUUUUCAUAUUUUGAGGUAUAGUCGGGCCUUGUUGCCGGCAUUGUCAUAUUGCUCUUUUGUACUCUUAGAGGCUCCGUAGACGUUUAUGUGGGUCAUGUAUGUAUGUUGGAUUGAGUUGUAUUUUGGAAACUCAACUAUGACAUAAUGUAUAUAAGGAAAAUGAACUAGCAACGUUUAUAUAUUUAUAUAACUGAUCUCUCCCCGGUUUUACAAAUGGUGAUACGAUUCCUAUUUGGGUUAUGAAUGAGUCGGGUAGGAAAGGUUUAAUAGGCUUGCUCGACCGAGUUCACUCGGUUGAGCACCGGUCGCGCUCCCUGAGGUUGGGGCGUGACAUUCUGGAUGUAGGUAUCGUUGUAUUACGAAUAAGAUAGAGUUUAGGAAAUUGAGUUCUUACAACUGAGCUCUACUACACGAUCUAGAGUAAGAAGAAAGAGUGACAGUCCUAAAUGCCCUGUAGCCUCCUGCUUAUAAGUGUUGUGCACAAAACACCAUAAACAAGACUCUACUAGACAUGGCUUGUAGACUCCCUAGGACAGAACUGCUCUGAUACCACUUUUUGUCACAUCCCGAACCUGGGGGCGAGACCGGCACCCGGUGCCUCACCUUUCCUUGCGUACCAACUUGCGACUAAGGGACUCUAAACAUAUAAUGUCAUACUUUCGCCAUGGGCCACAUUGCAAGACAAUUGUGAAUGCUGAAUAAAUAUAAAUAUCAUGCUAGGCCGACAAGUCCGUUAUAACUACUAUAGAUGGUAAACCAACAAAAUAUACAUAAAAGGCCCACAAGCCCAAAAUACUGCACUAACUGACAGGAUAUGUCUACAAGCGUCUACUGAUGGAUAUACUGUGAUCGGAACAAGGCCCUGACCUACUCAUAUCAUAUAUACAUAUAUACACAAGAUGUACAUAAAGCUCUAGACCCGGUAACUUCGAAGGGCAUGGAGCUUACCGAUCAAGCUGAAUUCGGGCAACACCUAAUGAGGAGGCCUACCCGUCUGUCUGUCUGAACCUGCACGCAUGAAAUGCAACGCCCCCUGAAAAGGGACGUCUGUACGAAAUAAUGUACCGAGUAUGUAAGGCAAUAUACUGAAAGCUGAAACUGAAUUGAUAAUAUAAUAACUGAAAGUAACUGCGAGUCAAAGAUAAUCUGAAGAUAUGCUCACCUGCUGAUACUGACUCAACUCUCUCAAUAUAGUAAGUAAAAUAGCUGUCCGGCCUUAUAAGGCUCGGUAUAUAUAACUGAUCUGCCGUAGUAGGCUCGCACAUAGGCGCUCGGCCAUACUAGGUUGUGUAUCUCGGCCAUGCUGGGUUCGCUCAUAGGCGCUCGGCCAUAGCAGGCUCGGUAUAUAACUUAUCAUAUGAUCAGGCUUUGUAAUACUAUAUAUAUAGGCUCUCUGCUCUCUUGACUGGUAGAAGACAAUAUGUAAUUGAAUAUGAAGUCCCGAUAAGGAGAAUACUAUAAUUUAUGAGACUAGGAUAAUGUAUAUAAAUUCGGGAGUAUGAACUUCUCUUUAUGCCUCGUUAUCAAACACAUGUAAUUAUGAGAUCAUGCCAAAAUGAAGGAAGGGAUUAGCCUUAACAUACCUGAGCCGGUUCUCUUGACAAUUCCUCUAAUACACGUCAAUUACGACAACAUGUAAUCGGCAAGAUCGGAGUAGGGAAGAAUCCGUAUGAUAUUCUUGAGAAAGAUUGCACCGUACUCCCUUAAAAUUUCAAUACCUCACGUUGCUAAGAUGCUAAGAGAUCUUGUUUUGAAUUUUGUUUCAAGAACAUUACAUUAUUAAGAUGCAAACUUUUUGUUUUAAUUUGCUGAAGCCUUCAUCUCUCACGUUAUAGAGACAUCAACAUCUCACAUACUAACUCAGGAAGAUCUCUUAUAAUUUUGUGGGUUGUGGGCCCCACUUAUGUAUGACUUGGCCACCAAUAAUUCCUCCAAUUUUGCAACCUUUCAAUCUGACUUAAGAGUCACUUAAAUGAUCAUAUGUUGCUGCCACGUUGGGGAUUCUUAAACUUAUCCACUCAUUUUCUUAAUUAACUAGUUAAUUCCCCACUAAUCCAAUAAUUACCCAAUUAUCCACAUAAUUAAGAAUUAUCUCAAAUUACUUAAAAUACUACUCAUCUUUAACACACUUUGUAUACCUUACUAUUAUGGUCAUGUGGUACCUUGUANNNNNNNNNNNNNNNNNNNNNNNNNAUUUUCAUCGAUUUUCUUUCCCUCUCACCUUCAUGAAUUUACUUAUCCCUUGUUUGAAAUAGCAUAAUACUUAUAAUCCUAAAAUAAUCUCAUUUCCGAGCUUACGUCGAUUAACUUACGAUGAAACUUUAACGUACAAAAAAUAUGGGAUGUAACAUCUCAUUUUCGAGCUUUUAUCAAUUUAUUUAUGGCGCACUUUCACGUACAAAAAAUAUGGGGUGUAACAGUCACUUUUUUCAACAUAAGGUUAGGUUUGUUACUUAUUGAGUACAUGGGGUCGGUUGUACUCAUACUACACUUCUGCACCUUGCGUGCAGAUUUGGAUGCUGAUGUUGUUGUGUAUGGCAGGAGCUAGCAUUGAAGAUAUACCUGUAUUCUGUCAUAGCUGCAUCUUCUUCUUGGUAGCUUUAGAAUUAUUAAUUUGUUCAUGUAUAUUUCAAACAGAUGAUGUAUUUAUUUCAUUACAGAUUGAAAACUCUAAAUCUUAGAAACUCUUGAUUUGUACUACCAGUCCUUGGGAAUUCUUUGUAUAGAAGUUCAACUAUAUUAUCAUUACAAUUUGUCAGCAAAUCCUAAUGAAUUGGAUUAUUAUUGCUAAUUGGCUUACCUAGCGGUCUGGGUUGGGUGCCAUUAUGACUAGUUGAAUUUUGGGUCGUGACAAGUUGGUAUCAGAGCUCUAGGUUCAUAGGUUCUACAAGUCAUGAGCAAGUUUCUAGUAGAGUCUUGAUAAUCGGUAUGAUUACGACCAUACCUAUCUGCGAGAGGCUAUAGGGCUUUUAGGAUAAACUUCCCAUCUUUCUUUCCUUAUCAUGCGGUAUUGAUUUAGCUUGAAGCCUAUCUAUUUGAAUUCCUUCCACUCACUCGUAUGCGCAUGUGAGCUCUCGGUAUUAGCUCUACAUCGACGGCUUGUGGAGUUCCAUGUAUGAGGUGCGAGAUAUGUUUUUUGUGUUUUGGUGAUGGGUCAGUCUGAAGGACUUGAGGCUGGGUUUGGACCACAACUUAGGCUCGGUAGUUUCAGUUGUGUAAGCAUGUGCUUUUGGACUUCUAUAUCCAGUGGUAUCCCACAAAUUUGUGGCCCGAUGAGUGGUUGGAUGACUAAAUAAUAAGUAUGAUGUGACUGUGGGUUGUGUUCAGAUGGUUUGAAUAUGGCGAGAAGAGUUUGCUUGAGAUGUAAAAAAGGACUAUUGGGUGCUUGAUUUCUAUCUUGAUAUGACGUGUAGUCUCGAGUUAUGAGUGUGUUCAAGGAUCUUUCAUGUUGUUUAAUUGUGGGACGAAUUAGAUUCUCAUGUCUUAUUGAUGAUUUCUGACUCAGGAAGAUUAAGUGAUAGCGUAGUAGUUGUGGCUGUGAAAGGGUAUAGAGAGAUGUCAGUUUGAGGCUAAGUAGGUGGGUUAUAACCUACGGGGUAAUCUACGGAUGUCUGAUCCUUAUGAUGUUAUGAGGAGGGUUUCUUUACUACCAGUGGGUUAUAGGUAUUGCGAUUUGAGUUUGGAUUGGUUGAGAAAGUUGACCUGACUGUCACGAGGAUGAAUGAGAACUUAGCAGAUGAUUUGAGGUACUAUAUGGUUUGUGCUUUAAGAGCUUACGAAGGAUUUAGUUAAAUCUCACUACGAUAUUAUGGCAGUAAUAGAGUAUGGGCAUUGUGAGUUAUCGAGUGUUUUGAUCUAUGACUUUGAUCGAAGUGGGGGAGUCUUCUAUCGAUGAUUUGAUUGCAUGGUUACAUGUUGUAUUGGUUUCGGUCUGAGGCAUACUUCUGGAUCGGUUAUGACUUGCAAUGGCUGGUUUUGAGGAUGGCUUAAGCAAGGAAUUUUUUGGAUGCAUGGUGUAUUAUACUUUAUGGGCAUAUGAGAAUCAUGGAAUGAUUGAGUUAUUAUUCGUGAAGGAUGUAGUGCGCAUGGAGUAGGAAUUGCUCAGUUAUGUUAAGGCAGGGUUACUUCUUUGGGUGUUGUUGUGCUAAUAGAGAACAGGUCGUUCGGCCCGUUUGGUCGGUGCAAUUGAGAUUUGAGCAUAGUGGAUGACUCUCGAGAAGGUUCUAAUGGAUUCAAGAUUUAUAUGUAGUAAUUGAGAAUUUUUUGGAUUUGUAUAUGGCUAGAAUCUGAGAUUUACAUUGGAUUAUAUCGAGAAGUAAACACCUUUAGAUUCACAGAAGGUCUCUUUAGAGUGAGAGUUUCGGUUAUGGUACUUUUGGGGUGCUUAAGAGGGAAUACAGUGGCUUAUGAGCCUUAGGGCGGUGUGGUUUUAAUCUAGGAUCUAUUGUAGUGAGCUUUGGGUAAGGAUUGUGGUGUUCUUGCAAGGAGAAGUGUCAAGUUGAGGGUAAUUCAGAAGGAACUCGGAGAAAAUAGGACAGCUUGGUAGUAGGUUAGAUCAGCACAGUAAUGGAUAUGAUCGAUUCUUUGGGUACUUAUGGCUUGUUUGAGUUAGAGAGAUUCUGUUCUGAUAGCUUGAUUAUGUGAAAAUGGGUUUUGAAGAGUUCUCAAUGGUUUCUACCAUGAUUUGAGAUGGAUAUUUCCUACCGGCAUGCGGAGCAUGUUGCGUAUUGUGAUUUUCUCCUGGAUGGAAUCAAAUGGAAAGUUUCUGACUGAUUGGGUAUGUAUACUGCUGGUGACUCAGAGUUGAUUAUGAGAUUCGCAUGCUUUUCAUAUGAUGGCAUGAUAGAUGCGGUGUGUUGUGUGGGAUUGAGAAUUGCAUGUGCAAGGCCACAGUUUAGUUUUGAAGGGGAGGUCAUGAAUUAUUAGGCAACAUGGACAAUUUCAGAUGACUAGAUGGAUGAUAUCACUACUUGGUAAUGCCUGAGAGGGUGCGCAUUUCAGAAGGGGCACUGUGUUUUGACUUACGGAUGCUUCAUUGGUAUUGCGAUACUCGCCUGGUUGAUCGACUGUUGAUGUUCAUAUUUUGCUAUUUGGAAUAGAAGAAGUAUAUAAGUGUUCCUCGUGGAAUGAUCGUGUAUGAGAGAUGUGUUAGACAUUCGGGCGGUGGAGUUGGGAUCGGAUAUGGUGAUUCGUGUAUUCUAUGGAUUGGAGACUAGGAGUUCCCAGAAGCAGAUUGUUUCGUGGUUGCGAACUGUGAAGAUGUGGCCAAAGUUAGCUAGAUAGCGGUACAUAUUAUUGUUAGAUAAUUUUGGACUUUUGGAGGGCUAUUUAUCCAUUUGGGGAUGACCGAAGUUGGUUUGGGGGCCCAUUGGUAGGCCCGAGGAGGAUGUGUGUUCUGCAUAGGAUCAGAUUUGUUUACUCUGUACUGUUGUUGUUGAGGGAUGCGCCAUUCAGUUAGAAUUGAUUUUAUUCGUAUCUGAUAUGUUGUAUGUGUUACUCUUCCAAGCUACGAGGGGUUGUGAUUCGUUGGUUAUAUGCACACAUGGUGCGGUUUUAUUUGGGCCUUAUAGCGAAAUUCAAGCGAUCUGGUGAUUGGGGUGUGGAAUGGUUGACUAUGCCUUGGUUAUGGUCCUUUUUGGGUUGUGGUGUAUUGUGUUAUUUGCUUCUCCAUGGUAUUGGUCAUGCACUUGUGUACUUGGUGUCAUUUUCCAUUUUUAGGUGCAUUUGAAUUGUUGCGUAAUGGUGCACGGAUUGCACGGCUUAUGGCUUGAGGUUGUAUCGGUGUGGCAUGUUAGUAAAGUGGUUGUAUUUGAUGAGAUGUGGUCGUAGGACCUAGAAUGGGUGCUAUCGGAUUUGGUUGUGGUACAUUUGGAAGGAUAGUGUCAUUGAUCGACUUAGAAAUUGGCUAUAGUUCUUAUCGAAGGAGGGGGAGCUCCAUGGCUUGUUGAUAUGAUGAGUGGUUAUGAGUUUUUGCAUGUUUCUUUCAUCAUCGACAGUGUACAAAUAUUUUGAACGAGGUUUUAUUUGAUAUUAGGUUUACUACCGGUAUCAGGUUUGUUUUAAGCAGUUACUGUGAUCGGGAAUUAUUGAUACGAGUAAGCGAGUUGUGUGGUAUAUCAUGUGAUUGCAUCUUGGGUUAUGGUUAUGGUUUGAUACAUCCUGUUCGGACUCAUACAGUGUGUAGAUGCGAGAUUCGGGUCUUGUAAGGAAUUUUGGAUGUUGGAAAUUAGGUUCUAAGGCUUACGGACUAAGGUUAAAGUAAUGAUCUUCAGUUAUGAUUGUCACACCUCCUUUUUUCCGAGGGGAUAAGGGGUUUUUCCAAUUAAAGUGACAUUAAUCGAAAUGAGAUUUUUUAUUUAAUUUCAGAGCUGCCACUUGGGAUAAUUUAUGGUGUCCCAAGUCACCGGUUUAUUUUAAAUCCCAAAUCGAGGAAAUUGACUCUAUUUAUGGUCCGCGAACAUAGAAGACUGGGUAAGAAAUUUUGUUAACCCGGGAGAAGGUGUAAGGCACUCCCGGAUUUUGUGAUUUUAGCACGGUCACUUUACAAUCAUACCUGGCUUAAUUAAUUUGUUUAAUUACGUAUUUUAGAACCUAUGUGCGUUUUAUCCUUUUUUACCGCUUUUAAUUGUUUGAUUAUUCGUGAUUAUGGAGUUAUCUUGAAAACGAGUCACGCGUACGUGUACUCUUUUGUUUGGUGUGUCCAGAAUCAUGUCACGCGUACGUGUACAUAAUUAAUAAUACUUUAUUAUUAUUAAGAUUGUCGGACCAAAAUCGCGCGAACGCAUACCUUGAUUUAUUUCGGGAAUUAUAAUUAUGUCACGCGAACGUGUACAUAAUUACGAUAAUAACUUUAAAGAUUUUGUGAAUUACUAACAAGAUCAAUUGUAUUGCUAAACUAUUAAAGAUAUCUACGACUAAAUAAAUUACUAACAUUCUAUCUUGAAAUCAUUCCACAUUUUGGGCCUAUUAGUAGAAAUUACGUUUGGCCCAUUGCUUUUACGAGGCAAUAACAAUCAAGGCCCAAUUACGGUGAUAAGCUUCAACCAAGCUAACAUUCAUUCUAACUCUUAAUUUCUAGCUUUACAAAUUAGUCACUAAGAUAAAGGAUUAAAUUCAAAACCAAGGCAAAAUGAACUGGAGAGCCCAUUAUUUCAUUGAAGAAAAUUCUUGUAACUUAAAGUUCCCAUAUCAUCACUUCACAAGACAAAUUGCUUACUAAGGAAACUACUCAAAAUAGAUAAGAAAAAUUGGAUUAUUAAUGAGAUUAACCAUAUGAUUUGCUAAGAAAAUUAAAGGAAUGAACUAAGAGGAAACGUACUCAAAAGCGUACUGUUCAAACACAGAAAACUAAGAAACAAAAGUCAUCCAUAUCACACAAAUUAAAUCAAUACAAACAUGAUCCAGAACAUUAGCGAGAAGAACAAAUUCGAAAAGGGAGAUGAACCUUUGUAUUAAUGAGGCAAACCCAGAAUUAGAAUUUUGGCCAGAACAAAUUGAAUGACAACCGGAUCUGAAGGCCACCCCGCGGGAACCUCAAAACUCGCCGGGUAAAGCUCAUCGGAAAAUUCGACUCGAACCCGAUAAAAAAUAUUGUUGUUUUGUGAGGAAAGACGGCUGUUUUCGAGCUAUUUUUCAGCUGAAUUUGGAGCUUUUUUGGGGCUGAUUCGGCAACUGUUUUGGGGUCGUUUGGGACGAAAAGGGGGCUGGUUUUGACAGCGUUUUUGGGGCUGUUUCUGGGUGGAUUUUAGCUGCGUUUAAGCACUGAUUUUUAGCUGUUUGGUGGCUGAAGAGGAAGGGCGAUUUUGCUGCAUUUUUGGGGGUAUUUUAGAGCUGCGUUUCAACUGGAUUUUCAAGGUGUUUGUGGUGAUGUUUAGGUGGUGUUUUGGAGGUGAAAACGAGAGCUUCUAAUGGAGGAGAAUGGGCAGGGAGCUAUGGCUGCCUUCAGCUAAAUUUUCACCAAGAGAAAGGGGCUCUUUUCAUUUUUGUCCAGAUCUAUUUUUCGGUCCUCCCUCACCUCUGUGUUUUCCAUUCUUCUUUUUC
rnacentral:lncRNA from 1 species